ACUUUUAUGAGAGUUUGAUCCUGGCUCAGGACGAACGCUGGCGGCAUGCCUAAUACAUGCAAGUCGAACGCUUCUACUAUUGAGUGCUUGCACUCGAUAGUAGAGGAGUGGCGGACGGGUGAGUAACACGUGGGUAACCUGCCCAUAAGUGGGGGAUAACAUUCGGAAACGGAUGCUAAUACCGCAUAAUUCUGAUUGCCGCAUGGCAGACAGAUGAAAGGUGGCUUCGGCUACCGCUUAUGGAUGGACCCGCGGCGUAUUAGCUAGUUGGUGAGGUAAUGGCUCACCAAGGCAAUGAUACGUAGCCGACCUGAGAGGGUGAUCGGCCACACUGGGAC
rnacentral:rRNA from 1 species